rnacentral:rRNA from 1 species
CUGAGGGGGAAAGCGGGGGAUCGAAAGACCUCGCGCGAUUAGAGCGGCCGAUGCCUGAUUAGCUUGUUGGUGGGGUAAAAGCCCACCAAGGCGACGAUCAGUAGCUGGUCUGAGAGGACGAUCAGCCACACUGGGACUGAGACACGGCCCAGACUCCUACGGAAGGCAGCAGUGGGGAAUUUUGGACAAUGGGGGCAACCCUGAUCCAGCAAUGCCGCGUGAGUGAAGAAGGCCUUCGGGUUGUAAAGCUCUUUUGUCAGGGAAGAAACACCGGCUCUAACACAGUCCGGGAAUGACGGUACCUGAAGAAUAAGCACCGGCUAACUACGUGCCAGCAGCCGCGGUAAUACGUAGGGUGCGAGCGUUAAUCGGAAUUACUGGGCGUAAAGCGUGCGCAGGCGGUUAUACAAGACAGGCGUGAAAUCCCCGGGCUUAACCUGGGAAUGGCGCCUGUGACUGUAUAGCUAGAGUGUGUCAGAGGGGGGUAGAAUUCCACGUGUAGCAGUGAAAUGCGUAGAUAUGUGGAGGAAUACCAAUGGCGAAGGCAGCCCCCUGGGAUAACACUGACGCUCAUGCACGAAAGCGUAGGGAGCAAACAGGAUUAGAUACCCUGGUAGUCCACGCCCUAAACGAUGCUGACUAGUUGUUCGGGAUUUACAUCCUGAGUAACGUAGCU